GGCUCAGAUUGAACGCUGGCGGAAUGCUUUACACAUGCAAGUCGAACGGUAGAGGGGGCAACCCCUCGAGAGUGGCGAACGGGUGAGUAAUAUAUCGGAACGUGCCCAGUCGUGGGGGAUAACGCAGCGAAAGCUGUGCUAAUACCGCAUACGAUCUCUGGAUGAAAGCGGGGGACUCGCAAGGGCCUCGCGCGAUUGGAGCGGCCGAUAUCAGAUUAGGUAGUUGGUGAGGUAAAGGCUCACCAAGCCGACGAUCUGUAGCUGGUCUGAGAGGACGACCAGCCACACUGGAACUGAGACACGGUCCAGACUCCUACGGGAGGCAGCAGUGGGGAAUUUUGGACAAUGGGCGCAAGCCUGAUCCAGCAAUGCCGCGUGCAGGAUGAAGGCCUUCGGGUUGUAAACUGCUUUUGUACGGAACGAAACGGUCUGCUUUAAUACAGUGGGCUAAUGACGGUACCGUAAGAAUAAGCACCGGCUAACUACGUG
rnacentral:rRNA from 1 species